GACGAACGCUGGCGGCGUGCCUAACACAUGCAAGUCGAACGGAGCUGCUUUGAAUGAUUCCUUCGGGAUGAUUUUGAUUCAGCUUAGUGGCGGACGGGUGAGUAACGCGUGAGCAACCUGCCUUUCAGUGGGGGACAACAGUUGGAAACGACUGCUAAUACCGCAUAAUAUCCUUUUGGGGCAUCCCUUUUGGAUCAAAGAUUUAUUGCUGAAAGAUGGGCUCGCGUCUGAUUAGCUAGUUGGUGGGGUAACGGCCCACCAAGGCGACGAUCAGUAGCCGGACUGAGAGGUUGAACGGCCACAUUGGGACUGAGAUACGGCCCAGACUCCUACGGGAGGCAGCAGUGGGGAAUAUUGGGCAAUGGGGGAAACCCUGACCCAGCAACGCCGCGUGAGGGAAGAAGGUCUUCGGAUUGUAAACCUCUUUUACCAGGGAAGAAGAAAGUGACGGUACCUGGAGAAAAAGCCACGGCUA
rnacentral:rRNA from 1 species